rnacentral:rRNA from 1 species
GAUGAACGCUGGCGGCGUGCCUAAUACAUGCAAGUCGAGCGAACGGACGAGAAGCUUGCUUUUCUGAUGUUAGCGGCGGACGGGUGAGUAACACGUGGAUAACCUACCUAUAAGACUGGGAUAACUUCGGGAAACCGGAGCUAAUACCGGAUAAUAUUUUGAACCGCAUGGUUCAAAAGUGAAAGACGGUCUUGCUGUCACUUAUAGAUGGAUCCGCGCUGCAUUAGCUAGUUGGUAAGGUAACGGCUUACCAAGGCAACGAUGCAUAGCCGACCUGAGAGGGUGGUCGGCCACACUGGAACUGAGACACGGUCCAGACUCCUGCGGGAGGCAGCAGUAGGGAAUCUUCCGCAAUGGGGGAGAGCCUGACGGAGCAACGCCGCGUGAGUGAUGAAGGUCUUCGGAUCGUAAAGCUCUGUUAGUAGGGGAGAACAUAUGUGUAAGUAACUGUGCACAUCUUGACGGUACCUAAUCAGAAAGCCACGGCUAACUACGUG